AUGUAGCACGCGAGCGCUGCAAUCCCUGCGUGCCGGCCGCACCCACCUGACGACUGCUCGCUACCUUUUGUCAGCU
rnacentral:sRNA from 2 species